rnacentral:rRNA from 1 species
AUUGAACGCUGGCGGCAGGCUUAACACAUGCAAGUCGAGCGGGGGAAGGUAGCUUGCUACUGGACCUAGCGGCGGACGGGUGAGUAAUGCUUAGGAAUCUGCCUAUUAGUGGGGGACAACAUCUCGAAAGGGAUGCUAAUACCGCAUACGUCCUACGGGGGAAAGCAGGGGAUCUUCGGACCUUGCGCUAAUAGAUGAGCCUAAGUCGGAUUAGCUAGUUGGUGGGGUAAAGGCCUACCAAGGCGACGAUCUGUAGCGGGUCUGAGAGGAUGAUCCGCCACACUGGGACUGGGACACGGCCCAGACUCCUACGGGAGGCAGCAGUGGGGAAUAUUGGACAAUGGGGGGAACCCUGAUCCAGCCAUGCCGCGUGUGUGAAGAAGGCCUUAUGGUUGUAAAGCACUUUAAGCGAGGAGGAGGCUACUCUAGUUAAUACCUAGGGAUAGUGGACGUUACUCGCAGAAUAAGCACCGGCUAACUCUGUGCCAGCCGCCGCCGUAA